CAGUAGCCGCGGGAAAACGGAGGGAGCUAGCGUUGUUCGGAAUUACUGGGCGUAAAGCGCGCGUAGGCGGUUACUCAAGUCAGAGGUGAAAGCCCGGGGCUCAACCCCGGAACUGCCUUUGAAACUAGGUGGCUAGAACCUUGGAGAGGUCAGUGGAAUUCCGAGUGUAGAGGUGAAAUUCGUUGAUAUUCGGAAGAACACCAGUGGCGAAGGCGACUGACUGGACAAGUAUUGACGCUGAGGUGCGAAAGCGUGGGGAGCAAACAGGAUUAGAUACCCCCGUAGUCCCUGUCUCUUAUAC
rnacentral:rRNA from 1 species